GCCAUCGACAUCACCGCCUGUGGUGCCGCAUCCUUGGGUCCUGACAUCCAACCUAUCUGCUGCCUUCCUCAAAGGUUUGGCCACUGGUGAUCAGCCAAUGACUGAAAAAAUAAAAGAAAAAGGUAGGUCCUCUAUUUUUUUCAUGUUUUCUUUGUUUUUGUUUUUGUUGGCCGAUCAUUUGCCGCUGGCCGUUCCUUGCUCCACUACUGCUAGCCACCUAUAU
rnacentral:lncRNA from 1 species